rnacentral:rRNA from 1 species
UACGGAGGGGGCUAGCGUUGUUCGGAAUUACUGGGCGUAAAGCGCACGUAGGCGGAUUGUUAAGUCGGAGGUGAAAUCCCGGAGCUCAACCCCGGAAUGGCCUUUGAAACUGGCGGGCUUGAGCUUUGGAGAGGCGAGUGGAAUUCCGAGUGUAGAGGUGAAAUUCGUAGAUAUUCGGAAGAACACCAGUGGCGAAGGCGACUUGCUGGACGAUUGUUGACGCUGAGGUGCGACAGCGUGGGGAGCAAACAGG